CACUUAACUGGGCAGCGGCGGGCCUUCCCUGGGAUUAAAGUCCCGUUUACCGGCAGCAUCCGGGCACUCAGAAGCCGGCACUCUUCAUUGCUUGACAGCACCGCCAGAGAGGUAGCGGCUGCUACCGGUAUUACACUCAACUGAGGCCUUGGAUUGGCCAUGGACCCAGGCACGGGCCAUUCUGUGAAUGCUUGUCAGAUCUAUACUCUACACCAACUUCAAGGAAAGUUCCACUUGCAUUGAAAUACCUAUGUAUUGAACUUCCUGCUGCAGCAGUUAUCCAAAUCAUGUUUUUUCCGUCAAAGACACUAUUGGUUCCUGUUCAGAAACAGGAAACUGGAGUUUAUUUUCUGGGGGAAUAUAAUUUUUUGGAGCCAGCCCAGGAUGGACAAAGCAACAAGUAGGAGAAGAAACUGAUAAAGCUUCCAAAGCUAAAGGACGAUAUUUUCCAUUCUUGUCCAUCAGAAAUAUUAUGAAACCAGCCAAACUAGAAUGGGCAUCAGGAAGAAUAGAGACAAGAACACAAAUAGGAGUAGAGCAUAUGUUCCUUUGAGCCUGCUCCACCAUUCGAUACGAUGAUGGCUGAUCUCGAGCUUCAACUCUACUUUCCUGCCUGCUCCCCACAGCAUGCAAAGCAUUAUUAAAAAUGACUAGCUUCAUGUACUUUGGGUCUAAGGGCACCUAAGGAUGGGAACUUGAGUAUACAUUUGUCCAGAUUUAAUUAUUUUUAAUGUUCUAUUUGGUGAGAAAACAUUCUCUAGGAUGUUUCAUCACAGUGCUUAAGUUCAACUAGCAUUUGUCUAAUCUAACUGCCCAACCAAUUCAACUGACCAAUUGAGCUUUGUAAUUGCUCUGUCUCUUUUUUGGAUAUGGCAAUUUCUUUCUGUGAUGACCUAGUAUGAUUAACCGGGUUGGGAAUUCUUGAUUUAAAGUUAUUCCAGACUUAUUUUGCUUAAUAUCUAAACAAAUAUAUUUUUUAAAAGUUCCACAAGCCUGACUCCCAACCUUAAACUCGAAUUUAAUUUGAUUAAUAACACAUUUCUCUAAAAUGUCCAUUCCCAUAAGAAAUAAUUUCUAUGCAUCAUAGAGAUGCCUGAAAGUUUCCCUUUAUGAUACGAAUAAAACAUUGCAAGAUCUGCUUUAAAUUUGACACAACCUAUUUUCAGCAAAACAGAUCUCACUGAAAAAUACCAUAUCAAAAAUUCUAUAUCAAAAAUACCAUAUCAAGCCAUAGAUGCAUUUGUUUAGUUUCCAGUUUUCCUUCUGCCUCUACUGCCUCUUUGGGUAGUUCCGGUCACAGUCGCCUCUGAAAAGUAUCACCCUGCAGAAUUGCUUUUAUAUUGAUUGACCUACACAUCCAUGAAUGUGCAACUAAAAGAACUAAAAUAUUUUUUAAGAUUACUUUUCCAGCUGUUGAUGGAGCCUUGGUGAGUUGCUGCACUGUACCAUGUAGAUGGUACACAUUGCU